rnacentral:tRNA from 1 species
AGUGUGUUUAAUCCUACGUUACGGCCGUAGGGAAGGUAGAGUUACCACACGCUU